rnacentral:lncRNA from 1 species
UUUUUUCUUUCUUUUUUUUUUUUUGUCUUUUUAGAGUUGUAUCCACAGCACAUGGAGGUUACCAGACUAGGGGUCUAAUCGGAGCUGCAGCCACUGGCCUAUACCAGAGCCACAGCAACGCGGGAUCUGAGCCGCGUCUGCAACCUACACCACAGCUCACGGCAACACAGUAUCCUUAACCCACUGAGUGAGGCCAGGGAUCGAACCUGCAACCUCGUGGUUCCCAGUUGGAUUCGUUAACCACUGAGCCAGGAUGGGAACUCCAGCAUGUCCAUUUUAAGAGCUAAGGGGGAAAAACCUUCAUACUGCUUGUGGCUCAGAAACCUGUGAGUUGUACUCCUUACACUGAUAUUUUAGUGGAAGACCAUGCAUCUCAGAAUCUCGAAUUCUUUGGGCUGGCUCCAAGCUUCUCAUUUUAAAAAGCUAAGUAAUGCACACAUGUAAUUGAGAUUAAUCAAUAGAAAAUGACACUGGACAGUAAACAAGGGAGGUCGCUCUUACCCAGUAACUCUGUUUCGGCUUUGGUUCCCCCUGAUUCCAACUCAUCUCAGGUUGGGUGCAGUUGGUUGGGUGUUGGUACCAAGGUACCCACCUCAACUGCAGCAACUCCCCUCCGGCAGGUGAGAAAUACCUGAGCCUCUUCUCUUGGUUAUCCAUCAGGCUAAAACUUUCCUACGCCAGAGCCACAGCACCUUGGGAUCCGAGCCUCGUCCGCAACCUACAUCACAGCUCACGGCAAUGCCGGAUCCUUAACCCACUGAGCAAGGUCAGGGAUCGAACCUGCAGCCUCAUCGUUCCUAGUGGGAUUCGUUAACCACUGCGCCACGACGGGAACUCCAGGCUAAAACUUUUUAUUUCACCUUGAAUACUUACUCUCAUCGACUUCUUCUGAGAUACAUUAACUGGGUCUCCACAGAAUGCAAACAUGAAUAUAAAAUAACUAACUUUUUUUUUUUUUAAUUUAUGAAGACUAAGUUUCUCAAAUAUUUUUCCUAGGAAACGAACUUACUCCUCAGCACACCUCCUAUAGGAAAUGAAAUGUGUGGAGGAGCCCAGACAGCUGAGCUCUCAUUUAGGGAAGUUAUUUACUUCUCAGAUUGGUGGUUUGGGGAACCAGUGGUACUGACUGGAAAGAAUUAAUUAAUGAUGAUCAUUCCAAUUCAGAAUAAGUGACACCCAUUCUAGUAGCAGACAUUAUUCUUACUAGCUGCCCAAACAGUCAUUGUUCUUAGUGCUUUUUUUCUUCAGCCGUGAGACUGGUCUAAAUAUUUUUUUGUAUUGCUGGAGUGGGGUUACUAAAAAUACACACACACAUGCAUUUUUUUUUUUUUUAGUGGCCACACUUGCAGCAAAUGGAAGUUCCCAGGCCAGGGGCUGAAUCUGAGCCACAGCUGCGGCCUAUGUUGCUGUGGCAACGCCAGGUCCUUCCAGCCACUGUGCCAGGCUGGAGAGUGAACCUGCGCCUUUGCUGUGAGCUGUGCCACUGUGGUGAGAUUCUUAACCCACUGUGCCACAGUGGGAACUCCACACCUGCAUUUUUAAAAUAACAGGAAAAGCAUAAAAGAAAAAUGGCCAGGGGAGUGUUUGCAUCUUAAUCCAGCUCCAGGGUCAGUUUAAUAUAUAGGGCUGAGCCUAAAAUAUACCAAGAAGCUGAUCAGGCCUGAGGGCCAACCUCCUGAUACCUGCCUUGGGGGACAAGCAGACUCUCUGGACAAAGCAACUGGGCAGCUGCUUGGCCCUCAAAGGGACCAUAGAAAGAUCUCACAAGAAGGUGCCUGAAAGGCCACAGAACACGGGGAACGUGACUGGAGCAUCACCCAGACGUUCAUUUAGUUGUGUACGUGCCGUGUGGCAGCCGAGAGUUACCCUGUACUAAUGUUCAAAAUAUUUAAUUGAAUUCAGAACAGUUGCCGAGUGAAGCACCGGGUCAGAGUCCUGAAGAUCCCCUGUGAGUUGUGGAGAGAGGGGUGUGUGUGUGUGAUCGAGGCAGGGGCACCGGACGGAGAGUGCCAGCUACAAGCACUAUAGACAUGUUUCGCUAUUUUAACCACUAGUACAGCUGAACCACGUGAACUGGUGCGGGUGUUGGCCCAUCCAGAUUCUCUCUGGGGCAGCAAGCCUCCGUGGCAUUCCAUAAACUGCCAGGCUAAACCCUAGCGGGGGGGAAUUAUUUUUAUUUUCAUUUUUUUUAGGGCUGCAUGUACAGCGUGUGGAGGUUCCCAGGCUAGGGGUCUAAUUGGAGCUGCAGCCUUCAGCCUAUGCCAGAGCUGAACACCACCAGAUCUUUAACCCACUGAGCAAGGCCAGGGAUCGAACCUGCAACCUCAUGGUUCCUAGUCGGAUUCAUUUCCGCUGUGCCACAACGGGAACUCUGAAAAUUCUUUAAUUUAUAGGCAGAAAGAGCAGAGCUGAAGAUAAAAGUGCUGAUGGUAACUCAGUUUUCAGAAAUACGUUCUACUUUAAUUAAUGGGCUCACAGAUCAUGGGACAAAGGCCCACAAUUCCCGAGAAAUCACGCGCAUAAAUGAAGAGAAUAGUGGUUCUUUGGUGGCACAGCGGGUGAAUGGCGCAGCAGGUUGAGGAUCUGAAGUUGUCUCUGCUGUGGCUCGGGUCACUGCCGUAGUGAGGGUUCGAUCCCUGGUCUGGGAACCCCCGUAUGCCAUGGGCGUGGCCAAAAAAAGGAAAAAGGAAACAGCUGGGAAGUGCAGAUCAUCUAUCCUGCCAAUGGCAGGUAGGUGAGCCCUGGGCUAAGAUUGUUCUUUGUGGGUUUUUUAGCAUUUAAGAACAAACGUCCUCUUCUAGCUAUCAGGCCCAUCUCUGAUGCUGGCCUUGGGUGUGCUGGGCCGUGAUGUCCUGUGAGCGGUGUCAAGCCCAGAUCCCAGACGGAUGAGUGUACGAUGUAUCCCCACCCAGUCUUCCCAAGGGUCGGGACCAGGGCGCCUUCAUCUUAUCUGCCAACUAUGUGUCUCUAAGCCUCGGUCAGCCUUUUGCCUCAUACUGUGUAACACACACACACACACACACACACUAUACAAUGAGAUAAAGCCAAAGAAGGGAAAUAACACUGAAUAUUAUAACCCUUUUCUUCAAAGGAGCCUGAAUUAGAGUAAGACUCCCCCUCCAACAAGGAUCAGAGUAGAGCCAAAAACUGGCCCAAGAGGGCUCUUUCCAUUUUUUGAACCCUUUAAAUUGCCCAUUGUUGAAAGGACAAAGGAAGGCCCUAUUUCAAAACCUGAAAAUGUAGAGUUUGUGAUGCUUCUAGCUAUUGCAACCACACUCCCUGCUGAGGAAACGCACCAGAAGGCUGGCCCUCGAGGUCACAUCAGAGUUUACCUCUGAGUGAGACUGAGGCAGUCGCCUUCCUCCAGCCGGUCCCUGGUGCUGGCAGGGCCACCAGAUAGAACAGAAGUCCGGGCUCCUCUCAGCCAGACCAGUUCACCUGGGCACUGGAACCUGUCCAUGACGCAGGUGUGGUGUGAGGUCCUCCUGGCUGUGGGCAGGUGAGGCAGAGGAUGCAGGUAGGCCCUUACCCCUGGGGAGCCCUCCUCUGUCCCUUGUUUCUACGAGGCAGAAUAAGACCUCCCACUUCAGGGCAAUGAACACAACACUAAACAGAUUAGCAAACAGGUAUCGUUUCGGCAGCAGCAGAUGAAGAACGGGAAAGAAACAGUGCUGUGUGUCUUUCAGGAUAAAAUAAUAAUGAGAAAAAUAAACGACAGCUUUCUGCA